rnacentral:rRNA from 1 species
UACGUAGGGUGCAAGCGUUGUCCGGAAUUAUUGGGCGUAAAGGGCUCGUAGGCGGUCCAUCACGUCGGGAGUGAAAAGCUGGGGCUUAACCCCAGUCCUGCUUCCGAUACGGGUGGACUAGAGGUAGGCAGGGGAGAACGGAAUUCCUGGUGUAGCGGUGAAAUGCGCAGAUAUCAGGAGGAACACCGGUGGCGAAGGCGGUUCUCUGGGCCUUACCUGACGCUGAGGAGCGAAAGUGUGGGGGGAGCGAACAGG